GGGGAUAUAAUUUAAUAGAAAAAAUAUUAUUCUUGCAUAAUAAAUUAAGUAGUUUGAAUCUACUUAUCUCCA